AAUAGAUACCCGGGUAGUCCACGCCGUAAACGAUGAGUGCUAGGUGUUGGGGGGUUUCCGCCCCUCAGUGCUGCAGCUAACGCAUUAAGCACUCCGCCUGGGGAGUACGGUCGCAAGACUGAAACUCAAAGGAAUUGACGGGGGCCCGCACAAGCGGUGGAGCAUGUGGUUUAAUUCGAAGCAACGCGAAGAACCUUACCAGGUCUUGACAUCCCGGUGACCACUAUGGAGACAUAGUUUCCCCUUCGGGGGCAACGGUGACAGGUGGUGCAUGGUUGUCGUCAGCUCGUGUCGUGAGAUGUUGGGUUAAGUCCCGCAACGAGCGCAACCCUUAUUCUUAGUUGCCAUCAUUCAGUUGGGCACUCUAAGGAGACUGCCGGUGAUAAACCGGAGGAAGGUGGGGAUGACGUCAAAUCAUCAUGCCCCUUAUGACCUGGGCUACACACGUGCUACAAUGGACGGUACAAACGGUUGCCAACCCGCGAGGGGGAGCUAAUCCGAUAAAACCGUUCUCAGUUCGGAUUGUAGGCUGCAACUCGCCUACAUGAACG
rnacentral:rRNA from 1 species